GCCCGCAUAGCUCAGCUGGAUAGAGCAACUGCCUUCUAAGCAGUGGGUCGCAAGUUCGAGUCUUGCUGUGGGUA
rnacentral:tRNA from 2 species